rnacentral:tRNA from 1 species
GGAGCGGUAGCUCAGCUGGUUAGAGCGCCUGCCUGUCACGCAGGAGGUCGCGGGUUCGAGUCCCGUCCGCUCCG